rnacentral:rRNA from 1 species
AUUGAACGCUGGCGGCAUGCCUUACACAUGCAAGUCGAACGGCAGCACGGGUGCUUGCACCUGGUGGCGAGUGGCGAACGGGUGAGUAAUACAUCGGAACGUACCUUAUCGUGGGGGAUAACGCAGCGAAAGCUGUGCUAAUACCGCAUACGCCAUGAGGGGGAAAGCGGGGGAUCGAAAGACCUCGCGCGAUUAGAGCGGCCGAUGCCUGAUUAGCUUGUUGGUGGGGUAAAAGCCCACCAAGGCGACGAUCAGUAGCUGGUCUGAGAGGACGAUCAGCCACACUGGGACUGAGACACGGCCGAGACUCCUACGGGAGGCAGCAGUGGGGAAUUUUGGACAAUGGGGGCAACCCUGAUCCAGCAAUGCCGCGUGAGUGAAGAAGGCCUUCGGGUUGUAAAGCUCUUUUGUCAGGGAAGAAACACCGGCUCUAACACAGUCCGGGAAUGACGGUACCUGAAGAAUAAGCACCGGCUAACUACGUGCCAGCAGCCGCAGUAA